ensembl:lncRNA
GCUGUACUACAGGCAAACACUGCUGGGUUCCAAAACAGGAUAAGAAGAAGGUGGCAUGUCGACAUGACUGGCACCAGACAGGAAACCAGGUGGUGGUCACCAUCUAUGCCAAGAACGCCAACCCUGAGCAUUCCUAUGUGGAGGCAAACCGCACACUGCUGACGUGUCACAUUCAGUUUGAGAAUAACAAGGAGUUUCACAAGGACUUCCAUCUGUGGGGGUUGAUGUGAAGAGCAGCUUUGUGAACAUGGUGCCUUCUAAAGUAGAAGUGACCUUAAAGAAGGCUCACGCUGUAGCUUGGGGUAAACUGGAGGACUCCAACACAAACCUGAACACGAGGUCACAGAUGACAUCAGCAGCACAGAGCAGGAGGGGAAAGCAGACGAAAACCAGACUGGUACAUCUCAGAUGAUGACAUCAGUGAGUCUGACUGGGAGGAUAACGAUGAUGACGAUAAGAAAGAGGAAGAGCAGGAUGUGGGCGGUCCCCCCUUGCUGGAGGAACCUCAACCUGUACCUCCAAAGAAAUAGAUGCUUAUUAAUAUUCACAUAGGGAUUGUUUUUCUACAGUGUGACAGUAGGGGUUCGAUGGGCAUGAUGGUGUAUUGUGAUGAGUAAGUUUGAAUUAGUUAUAUAUAGUGAUACAAAUAAUGGUUUUAAAAAAUAUUAUUCUCAGGUAAAGCACAUUUUUGCUUUUUUUUUUUUCUCCUUUCUUUAAAAAUGAUGGUAGUCACCAAAAAUACUAUAACUGUGUUUUGUACGUUUUGAAAAUUGUCCAGGAUUUGGUUAUUUUCCAAUAACAGCACGUUCUGAAGUGUUUUAUUCGUCAUAUACCACAGCAAUCUACCAAUUAUUACAAUACAAUGAUCAUUUAUUAACGAACAUUGUCAUGCUUUUUAUCCCUUUACACUUGCGUCCUGUUCUCUCUUACAUUAUAACAACUGUAAAGUCGUUCCCUCACCAGACUCAUAUUUUUCCCUCUCUUAAUAAGGAAAGAGAAUCCAGUGUGUCUAUUAAUAAUCCUGAAAGUGCAAACUCCUCUGUCCUGAAGACUCUCGUGUGGUGAAAAACUUGCUGUUAAAAAGAGUUCACGCACAAGACCAUAAACCUUCAAUAAACAACUAACAGAAAACAUCACCAUAUCUACGAUUCCAAUAAAAAAAAAUAAAAAAAUUUAUUAUUGGCCUUAGCUUAUGUAGAUCAUCG